rnacentral:rRNA from 1 species
UCCUUCUUUUUCUAGCGUUGUCCGGAAUUAUUGGGCGUAAAGCGCGCGCAGGCGGUCUCUUAAGUCUGAUGUGAAAGCCCACGGCUCAACCGUGGAGGGUCAUUGGAAACUGGGGGACUUGAGGGCAGGAGAGGAGAGCGGAAUUCCACGUGUAGCGGUGAAAUGCGUAGAGAUGUGGAGGAACACCAGUGGCGAAGGCGGCUCUCUGGCCUGCACCGGACGCUGAGGCGCGAAAGCGUGGGGAGCAAACAGG